AGCCUUCAAAACAAAUCCAGUCCCCUGGCCUCUAGUUCUUGUGUUGUGAAUAAAACUCCAAGACAACCUUCCUGGAGAUUGUGAUUGACAACAAACCACCUCCAAGAGACAGAGGAACCACAGAAUGUUCCCUCCCAGCACCAACCAAUGAGAUCAGGCUACCUGCAAGUUACAGACAAAGCCAUAGAAACCACUAAUGCUCCCUUCUGUAGCCAACCAUUCAAAAAUACUAAUAAACCAGUUGCCCUGACUCUGGGAAAUUCCCCUAAUUGUUCUCCAAAUGUCAACCAAUCAGGAUCCAACCUGUGCCUACUGAUGUAAUUCUGUGACUUUUGUCCUUUAAAUUCUGGCAAUAGACAAGAGACUUCGCUCCCUCUGAGACUGCUGUGUCAGCCUGCUACAUGGAGUCCCUACCGGUAGUAUUAAACAAUUAAGCCUUGCGUUUGCGGUUUGUUCCUGUUUUUGGAGUUUUAAGAAUUCUUAGCUGGGCAGUGAUGGUGGCAGUGCACCUUUUUAGUCUCCGUACUCUGGGAGGCAGAGGCAGGAGGAUCUAUGAGUUCAAGGCCAACCUGGACUACAGAUCUGGGAGUCAGUCGAGUGGCUGAAGAGUGGGUUCGGAAAUACAGUUGGUCAGGAGGAAUGGUUCUGGUGUUCUGCACACUGGCACCAUUAUAAUGAAGAAUAAAGUGUUGGGGACUGAAGAGAUGCUUCGGAGAUUAAGAGCACUUGUGGCUCUUGCAGAGUUCCUGGUUUCAGUUCUCAGCACCCAAACAGUGCCUAACAACUGGCUGUAACUCCAGCUUCAGGGGAGCUGACGCCCUCCUCCACCCCUCAAGGCACUGCACUCCCAUGAUGUGCAGACAUCGAUGUGGAUAAAACACAUAUGCACAGAAAACAAAAU
rnacentral:lncRNA from 1 species